GGACUACCCGGGUAUCUAAUCCUGUUCGAUACCCACGCUUUCGUGCAUCAGCGUCAAUCAUUGUUUAGUAAGCUGCCUUCGCAAUCGGUGUUCUGUGUUAUAUCUAUGCAUUUCACCGCUACACAACACAUUCCGCCUACCUCAACAACAUUCAAGAAUACCAGUUUCUAUGGCUUGAUACAGUUAAGCUGUAUGAUUUUACCACUGACUUAAUAUCCCGCCUACGCACCCUUUAAACCUAAUAAAUCCGGAUAACGCUUGCAUCCUCCGUAUUACCGCGGCGGCUGGCAC
rnacentral:rRNA from 1 species